UUGAUCCUGGCUCAGGAUGAACGCUGGCGGCGUGCUUAACACAUGCAAGUCGAACGGAACUCCUAUGAACGAGGUUUCGGCCAAGUGAAUAGGAUGUUUAGUGGCGGACGGGUGAGUAACGCGUGAGUAACCUGCCUUGGAGUGGGGAAUAACACAGUGAAAAUUGUGCUAAUACCGCAUAAUGCAUUUGGAUCGCAUGAUUCUGAAUGCCAAAGAUUUAUCGCUCUGAGAUGGACUCGCGUCUGAUUAGCUAGUUGGCGGGGCAAUGGCCCACCAAGGCGACGAUCAGUAGCCGGACUGAGAGGUUGGCCGGCCACAUUGGGACUGAGACACGGCCCAGACUCCUACGGGAGGCAGCAGUGGGGAAUAUUGGGCAAUGGGCGCAAGCCUGACCCAGCAACGCCGCGUGAAGGAAGAAGGCUUUCGGGUUGUAAACUUCUUUUGUCAGGGACGAAGCAAGUGACGGUACCUGACGAAUAAGCCACGGCUAACUACGUGCCAGCAGCCGCGGUAAUACGUAGGUGGCAAGCGUUAUCCGGAUUUACUGGGUGUAAAGGGCGUGUAGGCGGGAAAGCAAGUCAGAUGUGAAAACUGUGGGCUCAACCCACAGCCUGCAUUUGAAACUGUUUUUCUUGAGUACUGGAGAGGCAGAUGGAAUUCCUAGUGUAGCGGUGAAAUGCGUAGAUAUUAGGAGGAACACCAGUGGCGAAGGCGAUCUGCUGGACAGCAACUGACGCUGAGGCGCGAAAGCGUGGGGAGCAAACAGGAUUAGAUACCCUGGUAGUCCACGCUGUAAACGAUGGAUACUAGGUGUGGGGGGUCUGACCCCCUCCGUGCCGCAGUUAACACAAUAAGUAUCCCACCUGGGGAGUACGAUCGCAAGGUUGAAACUCAAAGGAAUUGACGGGGGCCCGCACAAGCGGUGGAGUAUGUGGUUUAAUUCGAAGCAACGCUAAGAACCUUACCAGGGCUUGACAUCCCGGUGACCGGCUUAGAGAUAAGCCUUUUCCUUCGGGAACACCGGUGACAGGUGGUGCAUGGUUGUCGUCAGCUCGUAUCGUGAGAUGUUGCGUUAAGUCC
rnacentral:rRNA from 1 species